GACGAACGCUGGCGGCGUGCUUAACACAUGCAAGUCGAACGGUGAACGAGGGAGCUUGCUCCCUCCGGAUCAGUGGCGAACGGGUGAGUAACACGUGAGCAAUCUGCCCCGAACUCUGGGAUAAGCGUUGGAAACGACGUCUAAUACCGGAUACGACGCGGGAGGGCAUCCUCUCCGCGUGGAAAGAACUUCGGUUCGGGAUGAGCUCGCGGCCUAUCAGCUUGUUGGUGAGGUAACGGCUCACCAAGGCGACGACGGGUAGCCGGCCUGAGAGGGUGACCGGCCACACUGGGACUGAGACACGGCCCAGACUCCUACGGGAGGCAGCAGUGGGGAAUAUUGCACAAUGGGCGCAAGCCUGAUGCAGCAACGCCGCGUGAGGGACGACGGCCUUCGGGUUGUAAACCUCUUUUAGCAGGGAAGAAGCGAAAGAGACGGUACCUGCAGAAAAAGCACCGGCUAACUACGUG
rnacentral:rRNA from 1 species